rnacentral:rRNA from 1 species
UGGGGAAUAUUGGACAAUGGGCGAAAGCCUGAUCCAGCAAUGCCGCGUGAGUGAUGAAGGCCCUAGGGUUGUAAAGCUCUUUUACCCGGGAUGAUAAUGACAGUACCGGGAGAAUAAGCUCCGGCUAACUCCGUGCCAGCAGCCGCGGUAAUACGGAGGGAGCUAGCGUUGUUCGGAAUUACUGGGCGUAAAGCGCACGUAGGCGGCUUUGUAAGUCAGAGGUGAAAGCCCGGAGCUUAACUCCGGAAUUGCCUUUGAGACUGCAUCGCUUGAAUCCGGGAGAGGUGAGUGGAAUUCCGAGUGUAGAGGUGAAAUUCGUAGAUAUUCGGAAGAACACCAGUGGCGAAGGCGGCUCACUGGACCGGUAUUGACGCUGAGGUGCGAAAGCGUGGGGAGCAAACA